GACGAACGCUGGCGGCGUGCCUAAUACAUGCAAGUCGAGCGAAGUUUUUCUGGUGCUUGCUCUAGAAAAACUUAGCGGCGAACGGGUGAGUUACACGUAAAGAACCUGCCUCAUAGACUGGGACAACUAUUGGAAACGAUAGCUCAUACCGGAUAACAGUAUUUCUCGCAUGGGAGAUAUUUAAAAGUUGGUUGUGCUAACACUAUGAGAUGGCUUUGCGGUGCAUUAGCUAGUUGGUGGGGUAAAGGCCCACCAAGGCGACGAUGCAUAGCCGACCUGAGAGGGUGAUCAGCCACACUGGAACUGAGACACGGCCCAGACUCCUACGGGAGGCAGCAGUAGGGAAUCUUCCGCAAUGGGCGAAAGCCUGACGGAGCAACGCCGCGUGAGUGAAGAAGGAUUUCGGUUCGUAAAGCUCUGUUGUUAGGGAAGAAUGGAUGUGUAGUAACUAUACAUGUAAGAGACGGUACCUAACCAGAAAGCCACGGCUAACUACGUG
rnacentral:rRNA from 1 species